GUGGGUGUAGUUCAACGGUAGAGCACUGGAUUGUGGUUCCAGACGUUGUGGGUUCGAAUCCCAUCAUCCACCCCA
rnacentral:tRNA from 1 species